AUGCUCGUUGAUGGCGGUGCAGGUGUUAAUAUUAUGCCCUUUUCGGUAUUUUCUAAACUGAACCGAAAAGAGAGCGAGUUAAUGAAGACCAACAUGGGACUUAGUGGGUUCUCAGGAGAAUUGUCCGACGCUAAGGUUAAUGAUGAUGUCGAGGUGAUUGAGGCAGACAAUUCUUCUUGCAUUGCUUUGACUGAGGCGCCGGUUGAUUGGCAACACGGUGACAUGCGAUGUUUGACCGGUAGGGAUUUAUCGGAUUAUGAUUAUAUCAGUAUAGGUAGAGAUGGUUUUGUACCUAUAAAUGCACAGCCGGCUGACAUAGCUCGGUUUAAUGAUUUAUCUAUAUAA
rnacentral:rRNA from 1 species